rnacentral:rRNA from 1 species
AGAGUUUGAUCCUGGCUCAGGAUGAACGCUGGCGGCGUGCUUAACACAUGCAAGUCGAACGAGGCUCAUCUGUGGAAGUUUUCGGAUGGAAACGGAUGUGACCGAGUGGCGGACGGGUGAGUAACGCGUGGGGAACCUGCCCCAUUCCGGGGGAUACCAGUUGGAAACGACUGUUAAUACCGCAUAAGCGCACGGGAAGGCAUCUUCCAGUGUGAAAAACUGAGGUGGAAUGGGAUGGCCCCGCGUCUGAUUAGCCAGUUGGCAGGGUAACGGCCUACCAAAGCGACGAUCAGUAGCCGGCCUGAGAGGGCGACCGGCCACAUUGGGACUGAGACACGGCCCAAACUCCUACGGGAGGCAGCAGUGGGGAAUAUUGCACAAUGGGGGGAACCCUGAUGCAGCGACGCCCGCGUGAGUGAGGAAGUAUUUCGGUAUGUAAAGCUCUAUCAGCAGGGAAGAAGAUGACGGUACCUGCACAAGAAGCCCCGGCUAACUACGUGCCAGCAGCUGC